rnacentral:rRNA from 1 species
UACGAAGGGGGCUAGCGUUGUUCGGAUUUAGUGGGAGUAAAGGGUACGUAGGCGGAUUGAUGAGUUAGGGGUGAAAUCCCAGAGCUCAACUCUGGAACUGCCUUUGAUACUGUCGAUCUGGAGUAUGGAAGAGGUGAGUGGAAUUCCGAGUGUAGAGGUGAAAUUCGUAGAUAUUCGGAGGAACACCAGUGGCGAAGGCGGCUCACUGGUCCAUUACUGACGCUGAGGUGCGAAAGCGUGGGGAGCAAACAGG